AUUGAACGCUGGCGGCAGGCCUAACACAUGCAAGUCGAGCGGAGCGGCGGACGGGUGAGUAAUGCCUAGGAAUCUGCCUGGUAGUGGGGGAUAACGUCCGGAAACGGGAGCUAAUACCGCAACCUAUUAGAUUAGCCUAGGUCGGGUUAGCUAGUUGGUGGGGUAAAGGCCUACCAAGGCGACGAUCCGUAGCUGGUCUGAGAGGAUGAUCAGUCACACUGGAACUGAGACACGGUCCAGACUCCUACGGGAGGCAGCAGUGGGGAAUAUUGGACAAUGGGCGAAAGCCUGAUGCAGCCAUGCCGCGUGUGUGAAGAAGGUCUUCGGGUUGUAAAGCACUUUAAGUAGGGAGGCGUUACCAACAGAAUAAGCACCGGCUAACUUCGUGCCAGCAGCCGCGGUAAUAC
rnacentral:rRNA from 1 species